ACCCACAUGAUGGAAAGAGCAGAUAGACCC
rnacentral:piRNA from 1 species